UGUGUUUGUAGUGUGUGUAUAUAAUGCAGUGUGUUUGUGUAGUGUGCAUUAUAUAAACACACUACACAAACACACUGCAUUAUAUACACACACUGCACAAUA
rnacentral:miRNA from 1 species